AGAGUUUGAUCCUGGCUCAGGACGAACGCUGGCGGCGUGCCUAACACAUGCAAGUCGAGCGGAGAUUUCUUUGGCACUGAGUACUCUAGUGAUGACGCAAAUCGCGGCGGACGGGUGAGUAACACGUGGGCAACCUGCCUCGAAGUGGGGGAUAACACCGAGAAAUCGGUGCUAAUACCGCAUAACAUACAGACAUCACCUGAUGACUGUAUCAAAGGAGCAAUCCGCUUUGAGAUGGGCCCGCGGCUGAUUAGCUAGUUGGUGAGGUAACGGCUCACCAAGGCGACGAUGGGUAGCCGACCUGAGAGGUUGAUCGGCCACAUUGGGACUGAGACACGGUCCAGACUCCUACGGGAGGCAGCAGUGGGGAAUAUUGCACAAUGGGCGAAAGCCUGACCCAGCGAUGCCGCGUGAAGGAAGAAGGUUUUCGGAUUGUAAAACUCUGUCCUAAGGGAAGAAGAAGUGACGGUACCUUAGGAGGAAGCCCCGGCUAACUACGUGCCAGCAGCCGCGGUAAUACGUAGGGGGCAAGCGUUAUCCGGAAUCACUGGGCGUAAAGGGUGCGUAGGCGGCUGAUCAAGCCAGGGGUGAAAGGCAAUAGCUUAACUAUUGUGAGCCUUUGGAACUGGUCAGCUUGAGUGCAGGAGAGGAAAGCGGAAUUCCUAGUGUAGCGGUGAAAUGCGUAGAUAUUAGGAGGAACACCAGUGGCGAAGGCGACUUUCUGGACUGUAACUGACGCUGAGGCACGAAAGCGUGGGGAGCAAACAGGAUUAGAUACCCUGGUAGUCCACGCUGUAAACGAUGAAUACUAGGUGUCGGGGGUCAAAGCCCGGUGCCGGAGUUAACACAAUAAGUGCACCGCCUGGGGAGUACGGCCGCAAGGCUAAAACUCAAAGGAAUUGACGGGGACCCGCACAAGCGGUGGAGUAUGUGGUUUAAUUCGAAGCAACGCGAAGAACCUUACCAGAACUUGACAUCCCUCUGACCGGUCCGUAACGGGAUCCCUCCUUCGGGGCAGAGGUGACAGGUGCUGCAUGGCUGUCGUCAGCUCGUGUCGUGAGAUGUUGGGUUAAGUCCCGCAACGAGCGCAACCCUUAUCCUUAGUUGCCAGCACAUAAUGGUGGGCACUCUAGAGGGACUGCCGGUGACAAACCGGAGGAAGGUGGGGAUGACGUCAAGUCCUCAUGGCCUUUAUGACCAGGGCUACACACGUACUACAAUGGCAUAAACAAAGGGCAGCGACAUCGCGAGGUGAAGCGAAUCCCAUAAAGCCGGUCUCAGUUCGGAUUGCAGGCUGAAACUCGCCUGCAUGAAGUUGGAGUUGCUAGUAAUCGUGGAUCAGCAUGCCGUGGUGAAUGCGUUCCCGGGUCUUGUACACACCGCCCGUCAAACCACGGGAGUUGGUUGUACCAGAAGCCAGUGAUCCAACCGUAAGGAGGAAGCUGUCGAAGGUAAAACCAAUGACUGGGGUGAAGUCGUAACAAGGUAACC
rnacentral:rRNA from 1 species